AUUGAACGCUGGCGGCAGGCCUAACACAUGCAAGUCGAACGAGCGGCGGACGGGUGAGUAAUGUCUGGGAAACUGCCCGAUGGAGGGGGAUAACUACUGGAAACGGUGGCUAAUACCGCAUACUAUCGGAUGUGCCCAGAUGGGAUUAGCUAGUAGGUGGGGUAACGGCUCACCUAGGCGACGAUCUCUAGCUGGUCUGAGAGGAUGAUCAGCCACACUGGAACUGAGACACGGCCCAGACUCCUACGUGAGGCAGCAGUGGGGAAUAUUGCACAAUGGGCGCAAGCCUGAUGCAGCCAUGCCGCGUGUAUGAAGAAGGCCUUAGGGUUGUAAAGUACUUUCAGCGGGGAGGCGUUACCCGCAGAAGAAGCACCGGCUAACUCCGUGCCAGCAGCCGCGGUAAUAC
rnacentral:rRNA from 1 species